AUUGAACGCUGGCGGCAGGCCUAACACAUGCAAGUCGAGCGGAGCGGCGGACGGGCGCGUAAUGCCUAGGCAUCUGCCUGGUAGUGGGGGAGCACGUCCAGAAACGGGAGCUAAUACCACAUACUAUCAGAUGAGCCUAGGUCGGGUUAGCUCGGUGGUGGGGGAAAGGCUUACCAAGGCAACGAUCCGUAACUGGUCGGAGAGGAGGAUCAGUUACACUGGAACUGAGACACGGUCCAGACUCCUACGGGAGGCAGCAGUGGGGAAUAUUGGACAAUGGGAGAAAGGCUGAUCCAGCCAUGCCGCGUGUGUGAAGAAGGUCUUCGGAUUGUAAAGCACUUUAAGUUGGGAGGCGGUAUCAACAGAAUAAGCACCGGCUAACUUCGUGCCAGCAGCCGCGGUAAUAC
rnacentral:rRNA from 1 species